rnacentral:lncRNA from 1 species
UCUUAUUUUGCUUUAUUUAUAUGCCUUCUGAAAGUCUUUCACUUCACAAAGGGAGCUCUGGUCUUUUGCUGCUUCUCUGCAUUUUAUUUUAAACCCAAUCUUUCUUAAAGAUGAUAAUACAGAUGCCACCUGUAAACACAACAUUUAAAGGAGACCGUGGCUCCCCUGAACAAUUUGUUUCUCUAUCAGAGAGGUCAGCAGAGCUGCAGAUUGUAUGCUCAGUGAGCCAAGGAGCCAGAACAGAGAACUAUUAAUUCUCACAGCACUUUUUUUUUUUUGCUAUUUUAUGGUCCUAAGAACUGUUAUCCUUCAGAUUCUGCUUUAUAUAGCACACAUCUGUAAUGUGAGAAAAUAAAAUUAACUUAUAUAAUUUAAGAAUACUUACAGUGCUUUAAGUGUCGGCUAUUCUAUUCAUUAUCUACGGCUGAGUAAUACAUCAUUUAGUAGCAACAAGCAAGCACAUAGUGUGUGCAGAUCUUGCAUCUAUAUGAGACAUUUGUUUUUUUUUUCUCAUGGUUUCACUUGAUUGAAAUCAAGUAGUAGCAAAGCAUGCCCCCCACCCCGGCAUAUUAUUUUUAACCAAUACCAUUGCCAUUUCAGUAGGCUUUAAUACUUUCUUCUCUGGACAGUGAUGUCUACUCAUAUUGCUUCAAAUUUCUCCAACAACUUUAGGAUGAAAAAUGUUGUAUGAGCAUCUCUUAUUUUCCACUUCAAUGUCGGAAACCAGAGGUUACUACAAGAACAUGAUCUGGUUUCAAUGUAGGAAACCAGAGGUUACCAUAAGAACAUGAUCUCAGGGGAUGGGUAAUGGACUCCUGAAGCUGUUUCAGGAAGAAAGUGUUGAGAUACCAUGCCAUGCUUAAAUCCUUUUGAGAAGAAGAAAGCAACUCAAAGUGGCUUGUAGAUCGAUGUGUGUUGGGAAAGCCUUCCCUAUUUGUAAGUGGAAAUUCUCAGCAGAUGAUAGAUUGACUAUGGGGUGUUGGAAGAUUUAGGAAGCUGUCUUCAGAGGCUCUCAAGUUGACAAUGGCAGCUACAAACCAGUAAAGCUAAAAUGAAACUCUAAAGGAAGGAUCAAGAACAUGUGGCCGUUUUUGACAUUGAUAGACUACUCUGAGAGAUGCCAGAUGAGUAACAUGCUUAAGAGAAACAGACUCACACAGAAGACUUAUCAUCAAGCACAGAGCACAGAAAAUUCUUAGCAUAGGAUCAGAAGGUGACUGAAGACAUCUUCCAGAAUCAUCAAGAACAUAAAUAGAAAGAUUCUAGAAAUUUGGGUUGAUGAAUAUGUCAUGCUUGUUUUCCAUUUCAUCCCCAAGCCUUAGGAAGGUAGGUGGUUUUGACUCUGGCUCCCUGCUGACACAUUAUUUUUCACUGUAUCUCUAAUGGAGGAACAAUCGUUGUGAGUCUGGACUUUUGUGAUGUGUGUAUUGUUUUAAGAAUUUGGUCUAUUACAAAAUUUCCAGUCAGUUCGGCAGUGGUGGCACAUGCCUUCUAAUCUCAGCACUGGAGAGGUAGAGGCAGGCAGAUCUUUGUGUGUUUCAGGCCGGCAUCAUCUACAGAACAAGAUUCAGGACUGUUUACACAGAGAAAGCCUGUCUCAAAAAAACCAAACAAUAACAACAAUAGAAAACCAAGAAUCUCCCAAUCAGUACUUGUAAUAUAAUAGCUUGAUCCUAGAGUACAGAUCUGUCUAGGCAAUGAACAGAAACUCAGCAGGGUUAAGUUUGCAUGCUACAUUGCUUUCAAAAUUUGCUCUUAGAAGAAGUUCCAUGGUUAAGUCUAAAAGUGUCACAUCUGAUCACACAAUGUUUAAUUUUCUCUGCCCUUACUGAAAAUAAUGCACAGCUGGGGAAAUACUGUGCUAUAGUUGACUGACUGAUGUCCCUUCACAUCCUACUACCCUCAGUAGCCAGCCUGAAAGAAAAUCUACAAGUAAAUGAGACUCUUACGAAGGUGUGUUCUAACAGGAAUUCUCAAGGCUUACAUGACUUAGGUAUUUGUGAAAGUGUUUUUUCUUAUACUACAUUAUAGGGAUGGGAGUCUGCAUUUCUAAAACCCCAAAUGAUUUAGAUAAAUAGUGUAUUAGAACAGAAAAAAUAUACUGUACAUAAGUGUCUCUCAGCCUGUGGGUUAUGACUCCCCACAGGGGCUCAAUAUUAAAUAUUUACGUUAUUCAUAACAGUAGCAAAAUUAUAGUUAGUAAGUAGCAAUGAAAUAAUUUUGUGAUUGGAGGAGGGGUCCCCACACCAUGAGGAACUGUAUUAAAGGGUCACAGCAUUAGGAGACUUAGAACUACUGCCCACUGCCUUAGAUGAUU